CCUACGGGAGGCAGCAGUGAGGAAUAUUGGUCAAUGGACGAGAGUCUGAACCAGCCAAGUAGCGUGAAGGAUGACUGCCCUAUGGGUUGUAAACUUCUUUUAUAUGGGAAUAAAAUGUUCCACGUGUGGGAUUUUGUAUGUACCAUAUGAAUAAGGAUCGGCUAACUCCGUGCCAGCAGCCGCGGUAAUACGGAGGAUCCGAGCGUUAUCCGGAUUUAUUGGGUUUAAAGGGAGCGUAGGUGGAUUGUUAAGUCAGUUGUGAAAGUUUGCGGCUCAACCGUAAAAUUGCAGUUGAAACUGGCAGUCUUGAGUACAGUAGAGGUGGGAGGAAUUCGUGGUGUAGCGGUGAAAUGCUUAGAUAUCACGAAGAACUCCGAGUGCGAAGGCAGUUCACUGGACUGCAACUGACACUGAGGCUCGAAAGUGUGGGUAUCAAACAGGAUUAGAUACCCGGGUAGUC
rnacentral:rRNA from 1 species